rnacentral:rRNA from 1 species
UGGCGGUUGCUUGCAACCGCCGAUGGCGACCGGCGCACGGGUGAGUAACGCGUAUCCAACCUGGCCGUUGCCACGGCACAGCCCGCCGAAAGGCGGAUUAAUGCGGUAUGAGGCGCUUCGAUGGCAUCAGAAGAGCGCCAAAGCUUCGGCGGCAGCGGAUGGGGAUGCGUCCGAUUAGGCAGCAGGCGGGGCAACGGCCCACCUGGCCGACGAUCGGUAGGGGUCCUGAGAGGAAGGUCCCCACAUUGGAACUGAGACACGGUCCAAACUCC